rnacentral:tRNA from 1 species
CGGGGCAUGGCGCAGCUUGGUAGCGCGCUUAUCUGGGGGGUAAGAGGUCGUGGGUUCAAAUCCCGCUGCCCCGACCA